UUGUCAUUUGUGUCGGGGAGAGAAAUCGACGAGGCUGUUUUAUUUAGUCAGUCUUUUUCUCUCUCCUAUAUGAGUGACAU